ensembl:lncRNA
GGCUCCCUGAGGAGCUGGCAGGAAUACAUAGAAAUACUAUGAUUACCCAGAAAUACUGCGUUUAGUAGAAAUAUUAUGUUUUAGCACAAAUACUAUAAAAUGGCUGAAAUAGUAUGAUUUAGCACAAAUGCUGUAUUUAGCACAAAUACUGAAAAGCAGCAGAAAUGCUAUGACUUAGCACAAUAGUAAUAACUGAAAUAGAAAAAUUGGAAAAGCAAAAUGAACAGCUGAAAAAAUGCUGAACAUUCUAAGGCUCCCUCAAAUGUAAUUGUUGAAUGAAAAAAAAAUCAGCAAAAAAAAAUGUAACAGUCACACAAUCACAAAUAUGGACACAUAUGGAAACACACAUGCACAGAGAGACACACACAGGAUCAAAUUCAGUCAACCAGUCUAAAUAUAUUGAAUUUAAAUCAUACAAUAAGAUGCUCCCAUAAAAACUCUGUCUCGCCCUCUCUUUCUCUCUCUCUG